rnacentral:rRNA from 1 species
GAUGAACGCUGGCGGCGUGCCUCAAAACAUGCAAGUCGAGCGGGGCUAUGUAAUAUCGCAAGGUAGAACAUAGCCUAGCGGCGAACGGGUGAGUAACACGUGGGUAACCUGCCUGGAAGACAGGGAUAACGAUUCGAAAGGGUCGCUAAUACCUGAUAAUAUCCUUUUCAUCGCAUGGUGAUAGGAAGAAAGGGGAAACCCGCUUUCAGAUGGGCCCGCGUCCCAUCAGCUAGUUGGUAAGGUAAAGGCUUACCAAGGCGACGACGGGUAGCCGGUCUGAGAGGAUGUACGGCCACACUGGGACUGAGAUACGGCCCAGACUCCUACGGGAGGCAGCAGUUGGGAAUCUUAGGCAAUGGACGAAAGUCUGACCUAGCGACGCCGCGUGAGGGAAGAAGGCCUUCGGGUUGUAACCUUCUGUCAUGGGGAAGAAGUAAGUGACGGUACCCAACGAGGAAGCCCCUCGCUAACUACGUGCCAGCAGCGCGGUAGGAGUAGUACA